AGGGCUUCAUGGAAGCUGGAGAGGACGAUGAGAGCGCUUCCCGGCCCUUCACGGCGCGGAUCCGCGACUCCGCGCCGGCGCCCACUUGCCAGCUUCUCCUCUCCAUGGUCGACGAGGCGCUCGCGAUGAUGAAGUGCCUCACCUAUGUCUCCGAGAAGACACUGGAGAAGCUGGAGUUGUCCAAAGGAAGCCUGGAUUCGGAAGCUUAUGCGGCACUCAAUGAGGUGAGGCUUUGCUCGGUAGCUUACGAGGCUGCGAGCGGGCCUGAUAUUCCCAUCAAGGAGAAAGAGCUCUCCAUCGCGACGUGGCGAGCUUGCCGGCUCUUCAGUAAUAGACUCGCGGGGCGGCACUAAAUUACUUCUUUUCUACGAGGGAGGAGCAAUCGAAGAGCCUGUCGAUGUUUUUUAGUAUACUGGAAAAGGAGUCUGGUUGUGAAACGAUUGACGACAACACUCGAGGAAGAAAGCGCGAUAAAUGCCUACUUGGAUGAAGUUUUCCGGCGCGAGGAGAGGGCCAUCAAAGAUCAC